rnacentral:rRNA from 1 species
UGGGGAAUCUUGCGCAAUGGGCGAAAGCCUGACGCAGCGACGCCGCGUGAGUGAUGAAGGCCUUCGGGUUGUAAAGCUCUGUGGGGAGAGACGAAUAAGUAGAAGCUAAUACCUUCUAUGAUGACGGUAUCUCCUUAGCAAGCACCGGCUAACUCUGUGCCAGCAGCCGCGGUAAGACAGAGGGUGCAAACGUUGUUCGGAAUUACUGGGCGUAAAGCGAGUGUAGGCGGUCUGCUAAGUCGGGUGUGAAAGCCCUGGGCUCAACCCAGGAAGCGCACUCGAAACUGGCGGGCUAGAGUAUCGGAGAGGUUGGUGGAAUUCUCGGUGUAGAGGUGAAAUUCGUAGAUAUCGAGAGGAACACCGGUGGCGAAGGCGGCCAACUGGACGAAUACUGACGCUGAGACUCGAAAGCGUGGGGAGCAAAC